rnacentral:rRNA from 1 species
AAUUUCUGGUACGAUGCAUUUGGCCCGGCGGCUUCGGUCGUUUGUGUGCUAGAGCGCAUCUGCCAUCCUUGUAGACCGUUCUUUUGCUGCCCUUCGUUGUGUGGCAAAUACGAUCUAGAUCUUUUACUUUGAAAAAAUUAGAGUGUUUAAAGCAGGCUUGCGCUUCAAUACAUUAGCAUGGAAUAAUAAUUUAGGACUUUGUUUCUAUUUUGUUGGCUUCUAGGGACGAAGUAAUGAUUGAUAGGGAUAGUUGGGGGUGCUAGUACUCAGCGGCCAGAGGUGAAAUUCUUGGAUUCGCUGAAGACUAACUUAUGCGAAAGCAUU